UCGAUAUGGGACGGAAAUGAGUAGGAA
rnacentral:sRNA from 1 species